UAUAUCAAAGGCUUGGACUGGAAAAUACCGUCAGUCAAAUCUGAUCUAAUACUAAUCCAAUGUUUAAGGACAGUAUAAAACCCGAUACCAAAAUUCAGUGUUGGAUCAUCAUAUAGACCAAAUAGACACUCUAAGCCCUUCUUUGUGCUGCUAUGUAAAAUAUAUUAGCACCCUUCUACCCCAUCUCCCAGCAGAAAUGAACCACCACUGAGCUGAUCUGGUUGGGGGUUUAUUCUUUACGUGUGUAACAAUCCAAUAGUUGAAAUGGGUCUAGUAUUAUUUUACAUUCUUUUAUAAAUUGUAUAUUAUCACAACUGGUUUAAAAAUAGUUAAUUUUUUUAUACCGACGUGUAAAUAAUUUUUAGCCGACUAGCAAUGUGAUUUGCCUGUAACUCUGAAAUAUUCCUUUUGUAUGUCAUCAUCAUUUGCAAAUUAACAUUAGUCCUACCCCAGAGUCUGAAUAAAGUUGAACACAUAUUCUGAAUAAAGCUUCUGAACACAGAGGCUACUAAAUAAAAUAGUAGCGUAUUGUAUUAUAUCUCCUUGUGUCAUAGCCAAUUCAGCGGUAUGGAAUUGUUGCCUUACCUGAGAUAUUCUUAGUAUGCUAACCUCAUUUUGUGGUGUGGUGCUGGUAUGAGUGUGUUGUUAUUGCUGUUGCUGGGUUUUAAUUGCUCACAUUUGCUUGAAACUCCAAACCCGUCAUUAGUGGGACAAAACAAACAAAAGAAUUUAUUAAUAUAACUGUAUACGGUAUACUGAAAACUAUACAUACAUUUCAAACCGCAAUUACCACCAAUGAGAACAAGACACAGAUUAGUAAGCUAUGGCCAGAAUUCCUUCUUGGAUUCUACACUACUAGUGGGGGAAAUAAGUAUUGGAUGCGUCAACAUGUUUUUCAGUAAAUAUAUUUCCAAUGAGGUUAUUCACAUGAAAUUUUCACCAGACAUCAGUAUUAACUCAAGAAAUCCACACAUAUAAUGAAAUCCAAACAUUAAAGACUAUAAAUAAAGUUGUGUGUAAUAUAGCGGAAUGACAGAAAAAGUACUGAACAUGCUAAUUGAAAUGUAUUUAAUACUUAAUGGAGAAGCCUUUGUUUGUAAUGAAGCUUCAAGACGCUUCCUGUAUGAAGAAAUUAAUGGGCCGCAGUAUUCAGGUGUGAUUUUGGCACAUUCUUCUAAACAUAUUGUCUUUAAAUCUUGUUCAGUUGGAUUCGAGUCAAAUGAUUGACUGAAAUUGAGUGUUUCCUUUGCUUUAUGCUUUGGAUCGUUGUCCUGCUGGAAGUCCACCUACGUCUCAUCUUCAUCAUCCUUGAGGAUGGCAGCAGAUUCUUCUCAAGAAUCUCCCGAAGCACUACCUGCACAGUGCUGCUUCAGUUAAGCCCAUGUAGACCCGGCAGCUCCUACAUCAGAAAAGCAGUAACAGCACUUUAUGAGUUCAACUAAUCGGGGAGGCGAAGAGAGUGGGAAAGGUCUGUGCUUGGACGAUGCCACACUGCCACCUGGAGAUGGUAUUGUACAUUACAGCUCCUCCGUACUCUUCUCUGAAAUUUGCCAGGAGAUGAUGGGCAAUGUCACAUGAUGCAACUAAACCAUCAUUCCUCAUGCCCAAGGUCAAGUACUGGCUUUACUGCUACAUGAAAGCUGUACAAUUCCACCUUUUCAGACUGGUGCGAACCUGCAACUUAAUUGCAGUCACACCCCUCCCACGAAUACAACAUCCUCCCUCCCUCGUUAAUGUUGCGUUCAACAUCACAAUAGCAACAUAAAUACUGCCACAGCCGGACAUGACAGGACUGCAAGAAAAGUCUACACUAUACAAUCCAACACCGGCAGAUGGGACACAAGAGACCACAACGGCAACAGUGUCUGCCAGCAACACGACAGAAUCAUAACGUGACAGGACCAAAAACACCACACUAUACAUUACAAAUACAUCAUCAUCAUCAUCAUCAUCAUCAUCAUUAUCACUACGUAUCUGAACAGAAUCAAACACCACACUAUACAUUACAAAUACAUCAUCAUUAUCAUCAUCAUCACUACGUAUCUGAACAGAAUCAAACACCACACGAGACAUAACAAAUACAACAUCGACAUCGCUCCGUAGAAAGAUCAAAUCAAACACCACAUGACGCCAGCCUACAUCCUUUCCAUGAAAGCUUCAGCAUAUCCUGAGCACCUAACAGCUGAAGCUUACUGUAAAACCAGUGGAUCACUUUCAGAUCUCCUCUAAACUCAGGAACCGAGUUCCAGAGAACUUUGGGAAUACAAAAACUGUAGAUGUUUUGUUUGAAGUUUUGAAAUGUGAGAAUUUAGCUUAUUUAACAUAUUUCUAAUGAAUUUCAUUUUCUAUGUAUGUUUAUAUUUAAUGUGCUUGACCACAAAUAUUUAAAUGUUUUAUUUAACAUACUUAUUUAACUCACACUUCUUGCAUCGUUUAUCUUGUUAAUAUUUCCCUGAUUUGUAGUAAUUCUCAUGAAUGUAUAGUUUCACAAUUAGAUUUCUGAUUUAUAAAUGUUACAUUAUUAAUUAAAUCAAUGUAUUAUUAUUAUUAAUUGAAGAAUUGUUUCACUAAUGGACUUUAUCAUAAAUGCUGAUUUUUUUUUUUUAAUUGGUGUACAAAUAAACUAUAUCUACA